AAAUCAAGCAUGCGAACAGCCUUGUACCUCAACGUCGAGGCAGCUGUAGGCAUGAGCUCAUCAGAAAUGAGGACUCCCAGAGGGAGUUUUCAGCACACGUUUCCAGACCUCUGGAAUCAGCACGACAAACUUAAUCGUUUCUGGGCUGCUUACAGCCUC